rnacentral:misc_RNA from 1 species
UCCGGUUUGUCACCGGCAGUCUCCCUAGAGUUCCCGGCCGAACCGCUGGCAACUAGGGACAAGGGUUGCGCUCGUUACAGGACUUAACCCAACAUCUCACGACACGAGCUGACGACAGCCAUGCAGCACCUGUACACCACCAAAAGAAGCCACAUCUCUGCGGCGGCAUGGUGUAUGUCAAACCCAGGUAAGGUUCUUCGCGUUGCAUCGAAUUAAGCCACAUGCUCCGCCGCUUGUGCGGGUCCCCGUCAAUUCCUUCGAGUUUUAGCCUUGCGGCCGUACUCCCCAGGCGGAGUGCUUAAUGCGUUAGCUGCGGCACAGAGAGGGUUGAAGACCUCCCCACACCUAGCACUCAACGUUUACGGCUGGGACUAC